AGCUGAUGCAGAUGGUGGUCUUUUUCCUCCCAGUGCCACCGCAGCAGCUGUUCCCCUCUGGAGGUUUAUACCUUCACACCUAAAGGGCCCGGCUUUUCCCGUGGCCCUUUUUU
rnacentral:sRNA from 1 species